UAUUCUUCCGAUCACUUGUGAUUAGAAAAUUCGGAUCGCAAUAAUAAAAGGCUAAAUAAAUAAAUGAUGUAACUAAUAGGAAUAAUCCCCGUAACAUGUUUUUAAACCUUUAAUUAUUAUUUUUAUAUUUUCUUCGAAUUUUAAUAGAAUCGCCUAGAUAUCGAUACCAUUUCGUUACAAGCGCCACUGGUGUAGUGUUUUUAAUAACUCCCAUGAUAGUUACAUUAUUUUUCACGAUAGCAAUAUUUAUUUUACAACAUAUUAUCCUGAUGCUUACUUCGUUACUUUCAAUAAUAUUGUGAAUUUUGUUCGCGUAUUUCUUAUAAAAUGUUUUAUGUAGAAACAUCAUGCCUCUAAGAUGGAUAUUCCGAAUGUUUCGACCGAAAAAUGUUGAAGAAGCUGCAUUGUUUAAACAACGUCUUUCAGUACUAUAUGCUAUUGUAGGAUGGAACUUUGGUGCUCUUACUUUGUACACGAUUUACCGGGAACAAAUACCUGCAGAUAAAGAUGCGCAAAGGGAGGCAUUGUUACAAAGAUUAUCUAGAAGAAGAGAUAUACACUACAUACGGGUACACGGAACGUCUGUGGUAGAAGACAAAAUUAUCCCAAAAUUUGAAGACACUUCCAAAUUGACAACAUUAAAAAAGAAAGAAGAUGUGUGAACAAUAUAUAGCAUAAUGAUAGUUUAAUAUUUAAAAUUUAAGCUAGUUUAUUGAUUAAUACAUAUUAAAAUAGAUUAAAAAAAAAUAAAAUUCCA